AUUGGCUGUUUAUUAGUUCUGUGCGCCCUUUACUGCGUCGUCUUUAAGCGCAUCUGGAGUGACUCUCUCCGCGUCAAACCCGCACGGACGGACAGGUCAUGAGGUCUCCGGGAGUCUGCGUCGGUCUACGGAGCUGCUGGGUCACCGGCGGGAUUCGGUAAUACGAACACCCCGCUUCAUCUCACCCCACACCCACGCGGACAGAAUCUGGGUUUUGUGCACUUGGUGAUCCGGUGCUCCCUCCGAGCGCUGCUGCUGCUGCUGCUGCGUUAAAUCGGGAUUCCUUCGCGUCUGCCGCGCGCGUCCCGGUUCCGCGAUGGUUCUGUGUCGCCUGCGCGUCUGAUGAGUCCGCAGCAGCAUGUCCUCGCGGAAGAUCUCCUCCGAAUCCUUCAGCUCCAUGGGCUCGGACUACCUGGAGAGCCCCGGGGAGGACGGAGAGUGCCCGUUCUCGCGCGUCUUCUGGAACGGCAGGAGCCCCGUGGACACGCUCUCGUGUCCGUUCGAGGACGCGGCCGUCAGCAGGAGGCUCGCCCGGCGUAAACGCGUCAACCUGGACUCGCUCGGAGAGAGUUUGAGACGCCUCACUUCACCGACGACCCAGACAAUUCAGCUGGCCCUGCAGAGAACGGUGGAGAUUUACAGACAGAGGGAAAUCAGUGGACAGGAGUUUGUACAAAGCUUGUCAGAAGAGAAGAAGUGUUUGUUGGAGAACUCUUGCUGUGACAGCCAGACUGACAUCUCAGGAAUACUGAAAUACACAGCAACUGUUUUAGGCGUGGACUUUGCCGACAUUCGUGGUCGAUUUGGGGAGGAGUUCUUUGGUUUGUGUCUGGAGGAGAACGAGAGGGUUUUGCGAGCUCUCGGAGGAAACCUGCAGGACUUCUUCAACGGUUUCGACGCACUUCUAGAACACAUCAGAACAUCCUGCGGCCGCCGAGCGUCUUCCGAGGCUCCUUCUUUCCUAUGCAAAGACGCUCCUCAGGAGAACGAGGAGACGAAGGUGGAGAGCGACGGGAGACGGAGUCUCCUCCUCCACUGCUUCAACCCUGACCCUACUGUGGGCGUGGCCAUGCCGGGCUUGAUCCGAGCCGCCGCCCGGCGCAUCUACCAAUCAGAAGUUUCGGUGGAGGAGGCUCCUCCCACGUGGCUGCAUACGUCCAAUGAGGACAGCGAGCUCUCUGCUGACUCCUCCCCCUCUUCAUCUCCAUCUGCGCCAUCAUCAUCAUCCCCCACCUGUUUGUCCUUCCUCAUUCGAGAGGUUCGGACUCAACCCGCAUCCACCGCCGCCGGAUCUCGUCAGCUGUCGCGCUCGCCGAUGGAUUUGCGCAUCGGUCUGAGCACGUUUUGCAGGGCCUUUCCCUUUCACCUGGUUCUGGGACCCAACAUGGAGGUCCUGCAGGUCGGGGAGGGGCUUCGGAAACAGGCCAAGAGUGACCCGCACCGGACGCUCACCUUCAGCACCAGCUUUGAGCUGGUUUCUCCCAGAAUCCCUUGCUCCUUCCAGAACAUUCUGCUCCGGCUGUCCACGCCGUUCACCAUUCGUACACGAUCUGACGGGUCGGCACUCGACAGCAGAGAGAAGGUGAUGGAGCUCAAAGGUCAGAUGCUUCACCUCCCAGAAUCCAAUUCCAUCAUGUUUCUAGGCUCGCCGCGUGUUGAUAGGCUGGAGGAGCUCAUGGGGCGGGGCUUACAUCUGUCUGACAUCCCUAUUCAUGACGCCACACGUGAUGUCAUUCUGGUUGGAGAACAGGCCAAAGCUCAGGACGGACUGAAGAAGCGCAUGGAUAAAAUCAAAGCGACCCUGGAGAAAACCCAUCAGGCUUUAGAGGAGGAGAAGCACAGAACCGUCGACCUGCUCUACUCCAUCUUUCCCGGCGACGUGGCUCAGAGACUCUGGCAGGGUCUUCCCGUUCAAGCCAAGAAGUUUGAUGACGUCACCAUGCUGUUCUCUGACAUCGUGGGUUUCACGGCCGUGUGUGCGCAGUGCACACCGAUGCAGGUCAUCAGCAUGCUGAACGAACUCUACACGCGCUUCGACUACCAGUGCGGGAUACUGGACGUCUAUAAGAUAGAGACUAUCGGUGAUGCGUACUGCGUGGCAGGCGGGCUUCACAGGAAGAUUGACAGCCACGCUAAGCCAAUCGCCCUCAUGGCUCUGAAGAUGAUGGAGCUGUCAGAAGAAGUGCUGACGCCCGAUGGGAAGCCGAUCAAGCUGAGGAUCGGCAUCCACUCAGGCUCAGUGCUGGCUGGUGUCGUCGGUGUGAAGAUGCCACGCUACUGUCUGUUUGGAAACAACGUUACGCUGGCCAGCAAGUUUGAAUCGGGCAGUCACCCGCGCUGCAUCAAUGUCAGCCCUACUACAUACCAACUUCUGCGUGACGACUGUGCAUUCACCUUCAUCCCUCGCUCCCGGCAGGAGCUUCCUGACAACUUCCCCAAAGAGAUCCUGGGAAUCUGCUAUUUCCUGGAGGCGGGGAAAACCCAGAACCACGCCUCUCUCACCAGCACUCGCUCCGCCCCCAUUCGGAAAGUGUCCUAUAACAUUGGGACCAUGUUUCUACGGGAGACUAGCCUCUGAGAUGGCCCCGCCCAUUCGCUAUGACAUCACGUCCUGUAGACUAGUGUUGCCUGUGGCAACUGGUUGCCCCGCCUCUCAACUGGAGCGUUGCCUCAGAGGCGUGACACCGAUGGAGCGGAGAGGAUGGCCCCGCCCCUGGCCCCGCCCUUUAAAGGAGCCAUGGAUAAUUGUGUUCUGAAAAUACAAUAAAACAAAUAUAUAUAUAGAUAUAUAUUUAAAAUAAAGCCUUCUGCUCCAUGGCAUAGUCAAACAUACAUGGUGUACACAUGCAAAUACUACAGAUAAACUCAUGUAAACAAACAGAUUUUUUGCAGCAUUGCAGGUAAUAGAAUUCACAUGCAUAACUUUGGUGCCUUUACAUCCCAAACACACACACACACACACACACUCCACAAACAUGCAUUUAUCACAUGCUGCCAUCAACCACUGUUAAAUCCUUAAUGUGUGUGUGAAUCCUCUAUUUACCAUUGUUAGAUCCCUUGUGUUUGUGUGUGUCCUACCAUUAACCACUGUUAGAUUGUGUGUAUGUGUGUAUUUGCCCUCCAGUUAGUGUGUAUUGUGUGUAUGUGGGUGAAUUUGUGUAAAGAUUGAGGCAAUUUCGCACAUCUCACAUCUGUGGGAUGUUUUUAUUUUGGCUUUUAUAUUCGUAGCAGAAACGUAGCUGCACGAAUGUGCAGAAUAUGCACUGUUAACUAAUGUAAAGGAAUAGUUCACCCAAAAAUGAAUAUUUGCUAAAAUAUUACUCACCCUAAGGCCAUCCAAGAUCAGGAUGAGUUUGUUUCUUCAUCAGAUUUGGAGAAAUGUAGCAUUGCAUCAGUGUCUCAUCAAUGAACCGGAGUGGUGUGGGUACUUAUGGAUUAUUGUGAUGUUUUUCUCUGCUGUGUGGACUCUCAUUCUGACGGCACCCAUUCACUGCAGAGCAUCCAUUGAUGAGACACUGAUGCAGUGCUACAUUUCUCCAAAUCUGAUGAAGAAACAAACUCAUCCUAAACUUGGAUGGCCUGUGGGUGAGUACAUUUUAAGUUAAAUUUAAUUUUGGGGUUAACUAUUACUUUAACAUUAUAUUUGCAAUACAUGCUUUAUUUAAGUAAUGCAAAAUAUGUUUGAAAAAGUAUGUCUGUCGGGCUUAAUGCAAGUUACAUGCCAUGAAAGGUAAACACAUAGUUUUAUUCAGUAAAUUGAAUCUAGAUUAUAGAUAUGCACUUUGGGAACAGUAUAUAUUAAUUAUCUGUAUUUAAAUGUGAUUGUCAUGCAAAUUUUCAUGCAGAACUUUAUAAUAGUUCUCAAUAAUCCAUUCUCAAACACCAUUUAACAAUUCAUGAGUGAUAUUGAAGGAAAAACUUGUAAAUCAGGACUCACUUUUUAUGCAGCAGAAACCGCAUGCUGCAGAUGGCAGAUGUGUGAAACAGUUUGUGUGUGUGUGUGUGUGUGUGUGUGUGUGUGUGUGAACGCCGUGGGGGUCCUGAGUCAAGGAGCUUUUGGAAAUGAAAACAUCAUCAUGGAUGCAUCGUUUUUACAUCAGUUCAGGUCAUCAUCAAUGUCUUCAUUACUUGAUUAGUGUAUCAUUAAUUUUUAUUUUUUUACAGUGAUCGGAUGUGCUCAUUGGUCUGAUUUAAAGAUUCAUGAACUGUCACUUUAAAUUAUCUAUGUUUUACUGUUGCAAAACAUCGGCUAUUUUUAAUAUUUUACUUUUGUGGCCUAAAAGCAUGCCUGUCUUUUUCUGUAAUCCUGUCGCCAUUUACUUCUCUUGUGUGUGUGCGCGCGUGCGUGUGU